GUUAGGAAUAUUGGACAAUGGGCGCAAGCCUGAUCCAGCCAUGCCGCGUGAACGAUGAAGGCCUUCGGGUUGUAAACUGCUUUUGUACGGAACGAAAAGGCUCUGGUUAAUACCUGGGGCACAUGACGGUACCGUAAGAAUAAGCACCGGCUAACUACGUGCCAGCAGCCGCGGUAAUACGUAGGGUGCAAGCGUUAAUCGGAAUUACUGGGCGUAAAGCGUGCGCAGGCGGUGCUGUAAGACAGGCGUGAAAUCCCCGGGCUUAACCUGGGAAUGGCGCUUGUGACUGCAGUGCUGGAGUGUGGCAGAGGGGGAUGGAAUUCCGCGUGUAGCAGUGAAAUGCGUAGAUAUGCGGAGGAACACCGAUGGCGAAGGCAGUCCCCUGGGCCUGUACUGACGCUCAUGCACGAAAGCGUGGGGAGCAAACAGGAUUAGAAACCCGGGUAGUCC
rnacentral:rRNA from 1 species